rnacentral:rRNA from 1 species
AGUGAACGCUGGCGGUAGGCCUAACACGUGCAAGUCGAACGGCAGCACAGUAAGAGCUUGCUCUUACGGGUGGCGAGUGGCGGACGGGUGAGGAAUACAUCGGAAUCUACUUUUUCGUGGGGGAUAACGUGGGGAAACUUACGCUAAUACCGCAUACGACCUACGGGUGAAAGCAGGGGAUCUUCGGACCUUGCGCGAUUGAAUGAGCCGAUGUCGGAUUAGCUAGUUGGCGGGGUAAAGGCCCACCAAGGCGACGAUCCGUAGCUGGUCUGAGAGGAUGAUCAGCCACACUGGAACUGAGACACGGUCCAGACUCCUACGGGAGGCAGCAGUGGGGAAUAUUGGACAAUGGGCGCAAGCCUGAUCCAGCCAUACCGCGUGGGUGAAGAAGGCCUUCGGGUUGUAAAGCCCUUUUGUUGGGAAAGAAAAGCAGCAGGUUAAUACCCCGCUGUUCUGACGGUACCCAAAGAAUAAGCACCGGCUAACUUCGUG